rnacentral:lncRNA from 9 species
GGGCCCUCCCACUCCCACUCCUUCCCUCGAGGCCGGGAACUAGGCCCCGAGCAGCUCCCGGAAGCAAGGCCCACAUCCGGGUACGAAGCCUCGCUAGCUGGCUUGGCGGCCAGGCUCAACGCAAGGGGGGGCCGCCCGCAGGGGCGGAGGGCCUGGGCCGCGGCGUGGGCGCGUCUAGUCUUCUUCCAAGCCCAAGGGCAGCGCUUUCGCGGACGCUGAAUGCUCCCACUCCGCGAGCGCCGGAGUGACGAGUCUCGGGCUCGCGCAGGGGAAGAUUCAAGAAGGAAGCCGGGCCCGACCGGGGGGUGGCGCACGCUCCCCGCCGCGCCCUCGGCCGGCCCUGGCGGUUUUUGCCCCUUGGGGUGGGCACUGCAAACUUCUAUGGAGUGGUCCCACAGGCAGUGAGAUGGCCUCCGCCUAACUUCGUCAGAUUCGCAGACCCACCGUCGAGCGAGACCGCUUUUGCGAAUCAAACCGGCUGCUCUAGUCUCCUUUCUUUGGCCAGAGAGCGCAGAGUCCUGCGGCCUUCGCCCCAAAGUUUGCACGUCCUUGGGCAGCUGGUCCUUUUCAGACAGGGAUUGAGAAACGGAAAUUUCACCACCCUCCAGCCAAACUUUCGAGGACUGAUUGCAGAGGAACUGGUGCUCCAGAUGUUGCACUAGAGGCGCUGCAAGUGUGAGCAGAUGGCAGUAGACCUACCUCACAAGUGGGAGCAGAUAUUCUCAAUGUUUCUAUUGAAAUAUCUUUAUUUCCAUUUGCAAGAGGAGCUCUGGAGCCUCAUUCUUGUGGUAGCUACCAAGUUCUGAUAUAAGCUGUUUUCAUCAGGGAACUUUGGCAAGAGAAUGGCUGGAUCAGCAAGUCCAUCUCCAUAAUGGAACAACAACUUGAAGCUCAUCUCUGUUGAUGGGCUGAACCCACUGGAUGUGGAAAUUCCUAGGCUAGGCAUUGAAUUGGAGCCGCAGCUGCCUGUCUAGGCCACAGUCACAGCAACACUAGAUCCGAGCCACGUCUGCGACCUACACCACAGCUCACAGCAAUGCUGGAUCCUUAACCCACUGAGCAAAGCCAGGGAUAGAACCCACGUCCUCAUGGAUACCAGUCAGAUGUACAGUCUGUAGGAUGGGGGUAGACUGAAUACCUGCUUCACGGAAUACUUGCUUCAAAUCACCUUUCACAUCUUCUUGUUGGAAAGACAAUCAUUGGAGAAUCGUCUUGUUACUGUCAGCAAAACUGAAAAGAAAUCAAGACAUUAAGAAUGCCACAGUGGCCAGCAGUUAAUGAUGCCAGUGUUAUGCAAGCUUCGGCAAAGGAAUUUUUUUCAAGACAGCGUGCCUCACUAGCCAGAAAUCAGGAAAGGUCGAACCUAUCCUUUUUAUCUCAGCUGUUUCUUCAGUCAGUGCAGCCCCUCCUAAUUAAAGUGAAUUGAAACAUGCAUUGCCUUUUCAGCUUAAUUGAGUACUUACUAUGUGUGAAUCACUGCACAGAAUAGGGGAGGGAAAAUGAGGGAGACAAAUAAGAUAUUGUCCCUGCCUUCACUGGAUUUACAGUUAGUUUAAGGGCUUUUUUUGUCUUCUGCUCUUAAUUAAGUGUAUCCCUAAGACAGGAAAUGAAUGGAAAAGUGUAUUCUGUAAGUAUUUGAAAUCUCCUUAAUAUAAGACGAAAUAAAAACUAAUGUGAGCAA